rnacentral:rRNA from 1 species
UAGGGAAUCUUCCACAAUGGGCGCAAGCCUGAUGGAGCAACGCCGCGUGCAGGAUGAAUGCCUUAGGGUUGUAAACUGCUUUUACGAGUGAAGAUUUUGACGGUAGCUCGUGAAUAAGGAUCGGCUAACUCCGUGCCAGCAGCCGCGGUCAUACGGAGGAUCCAAGCGUUAUCCGGAAUUACUGGGCGUAAAGAGUUGCGUAGGCGGCUUAGAAAGUUUCGAUUAAAAGACGACGGCUCAACCGUCGGAUGUAUCGGAAAACUAUUAAGCUAGAGUAUAGGAGAGGUAGCUGGAAUUCUUAGUGUAGGAGUGAAAUCCGUAGAUAUUAAGAGGAACACCGAUGGCGUAGGCAGGCUACUGGCCUAUUACUGACGCUAAUGCACGAAAGCGUGGGGAGCGAACGGG